UUUGAAUUCUACUACCAUAUAUAUAAAACUCAGUACAUUUUUGCCUACAUAUACAUCACUUUAUUAGUACCAUCUUCUUCCACCCUUUUAGCCUAGAAUAUACAAAAUUCCUCUACAUCUAUAUAUCUUGAUCUUGAAUAAAAUUUUUGUAUAUAUAUGCAUUGAGCUUGUGCGUAGCAGCAAAAUGGCUUGCAUUAUUUGAAGAGAUAUCAAGAUAAUGAGGCAAUUUCUGAUGAAGCCAUUUCUGUCCCCUUAUUAAUACUAUCAUCUUGAAGCAAAUUCAUUUGUUGUUCAUGAGAAGCUGGAGAGCUGGAGCAAGCAGCAGCACUGCCAUCUUGUUGACUUAGUUGAGAUGCAACAAAUUUAUCGAGUACUCGCCAAUCGGUCACUUGAUCCACUGCUUGAUUAUCAUAGUUGUUGUAAAUUGAAUUGGGCUGUUCUAUAUUAAUUUGGUUGAUUCCAUGAUAGGAUUGAGGGAUUUUUGGAGACUCCAAUUGAGGGAGUUGGAGAAAUAAUGCAUCAUUAUUAUGAGGCUGCAUAUUGGUGUAGGGUAAUUGGUGAUGGUAUGAAGGAGUAGUAUUAUAUGGAAUAUUUGGAAAAUUGUUACGUCGUGGAGAGUCAAAAUCAGGGAUGAAAUUGGAGACUAAUUGCUCAUUGUUGUACCAA